rnacentral:rRNA from 1 species
GAUUUAUUUGGUAAUAUAUGUUAACGUGGUAAAGUUAUAUGUUUAUUAUUGAAUGGUAAUGAAAUGUUUAUCGUUUCCUAGAAUAGCUAGUUUAUUAGGUGAAAGAUAUUUAAGUAUCAUAGUGUUUAUAUAAUAAAGUUAUAUUUGAAUACUAGUUUAUUAUAUGGGGGAUAAGCUUCAUAUAGGUUUAUAGAAUGUUAUGUAUAAGUAAAUAUAAUUUAAGUAGGGUUAAAAUUUAGUUUUUCUUAAUGAUUUAAUUUAUUAUCUGUUUAAAAUAUUUCAAGUGGUAUGUAAUUAAUAAAUGAUUGUUAAUAUUUUUAGUUAAAUAUAAUGUUAAUAUGAGUAUUGGUUUAUGGUUUAUCUAUUUAUUGUAAUUAUAAAUGUAAAUUGUUAUUUAGUUUUAUAAAAAAUUAAGUAAAGUGAAGGAAUUCGGCAAAUAUUAAUCUCGCCUGUUUAUCAAAAACAUCUCUCUUUGUUGAUUCAUAAAUAAAGAG